GCCUCCAAGCGCGGCAUCGGCAGCCUCCCCCAAGUCUGACCUUCUGUAUAAUAUCAAAUUGCCAAAACUCUAUCCUGCACUUGGGCACAGAACUUGCUUGACAAUGUGAUUUGUUCGCAGGCUUUAGGCGGACCUAUCUUGUGUGGAAUGCGGGCAAUUUGGACUGCAAGGAACAAAAGAUAUCAUGGAGAAACCUCAAUGAGCAUUACACAAGCUUGCAGGUGGGCAAGGGACAUGGCCUCCGAUCUGAUUCAGACCUCGGGCCCUUGUGCAAAAGGUAAACAAGGAGCCACGGCUGUGAUGAUUAGAGAUGACAUGGGCCAGGUGAUUGCUAUCCGAUGCAAGUGGUACAACGAUAUCUCAAUUGUGCUGUCAGCAGAGGCACCGGCAUGUCGGGAUGGUGCAGAAUUGAUGGCCAGCCUGAAAUAAGGUGAUCUUAGAAACAAAUAAUCUGGAUGUUGCUAAUUUGUGGAAAAGUAGAAGCGAAAACAGAUCAUGUAUCCUCCCUGUUCUGCUCCAAAUUCAGGAUAUUUGUAGGGGGUGUGAUGUUUUUGAGUUUACUCAUGUUUGUAGAGAGGCCAAUAUGGCUGCACACUAAACAACCAUGUUCGCUUCUUGUAAUCAGUUUGUAAACACUUGAAUGUACCAGAAACCUGAUUUCCUGAACGCCUGUAUUCAGUAUGAUUCUCAUGCUUGACAAUGAGUUAAUAUAAGGCAGUUUCACUCUAAAAAAAUCUAUGUGUGUGAUGUAUGUUGACAUUUCCGUGUAUAAUGAUGUAUAAAGAUGGUGUGUGUAUGAUAUGAA